rnacentral:lncRNA from 1 species
GGAAACAAGAGCUAGACUACCUGCUCGUGAUCCCAGGAGGCUAAUGGAACAGUGAUGUAUCGCGGUUCCUGCCUCGUGAAUUUGGAAGCAGGAUUCUGCUCCUAGGAAAAGAUGAGAAUAGAGCUCCAGUCUAUUCUUGCUGCAGUAAUUUGAAAAUUAUGGGACCAUCAAUCUGUUGUGAAUGCUGUCUACAGCAGAUCUUAUCUCUCAGAAUUAUCAAACUGAGCUGAUCCAAAGGCUUGACAUAAAUUACAUGUUAAACGUA